AUUGAACGCUGGCGGCAUGCCUUACACAUGCAAGUCGAACGGCAGCACGGGUGCUUGCACCUGGUGGCGAGUGGCGCACGGGUGAGUAAUACAUCGGAACAUGUCCUGUCGUGGGGGAUAGCCCGGCGAAAGCCGGAUUAAUACCGCAUACGAUCUACGGUUGAAAGCGGGGGACCUUCGGGCCUCGCGCUAUAGGGUUGGCCGAUGGCUGAUUAGCUAGUUGGUGGGGUAAAGGCCUACCAAGGCGACGAUGAGUAGCUGGUCUGAGGGGACGACCAGCCACACUGGGAGUGAGAGACGGCCCUGGCUCCUACGGGAGGCAGCAAUGGGGAAGUUUGGACAAUGGGCGGAAGCCUGAACCAGCAAUGCCGGGUUGGUGAAGAAGGGCUUCGGGUUGGAAAGCACUUUUGUCCGUAAAGAAAUCCUUGGCCCUAAUACGGGCGGGGGAUGACGGUACCGGAAGAAUAAGCACCGGCUAACUACGUG
rnacentral:rRNA from 1 species